GGCCGGUUAGCUCAGUUGGCUAGAGCGCUUCAUUUACACUGAAGAAGUCGUGGGUUCAAGUCCCUCACCGGCUA
rnacentral:tRNA from 1 species